UUUGCGUCAACGUGGGCUGGGGCCAGUCGUAUAAAAGACUAUAGGAACUUUUAACUGUAGUUAAAGACAGAAUUCGCCAAUCAAAGUCGUGUAUUUCUGAGUUAACUGGGAUUUAACUACGCAAAAUGUAGUUAAGGAGUUUUAUACAACCGGCUCCUGAUCGUUUUAGUCGGACUCGUGAGUGUCAUUGAAACAAGCCAUCGAAGGACAUCGUAUCGUGAAUUAAACGCUGAUACGAUAUGACAAGGCCACGUCUGAAAACAUCAAUAAUUCAAACAUGCACUUGAUUUUAAUACUACAGAAGUUAGCAGACAGUGAUUCCAGGUGCUAUGAAAUCGCGGGAAAGGACUGGAACUAGAUAUGAAAUAAAGUUCCAUUUCAGUCGGUUG